GACGAACGCUGGCGGCGUGCUUAACACAUGCAAGUCGAACGGAAAGGCCCUGCUUUUGUGGGGUGCUCGAGUGGCGAACGGGUGAGUAACACGUGAGUAACCUGCCCUUGACUUUGGGAUAACUUCAGGAAACUGGGGCUAAUACCGGAUAGGAGCUCCUGCUGCAUGGUGGGGGUUGGAAAGUUUCGGCGGUUGGGGAUGGACUCGCGGCUUAUCAGCUUGUUGGUGGGGUAGUGGCUUACCAAGGCUUUGACGGGUAGCCGGCCUGAGAGGGUGACCGGCGACAUUGGGCCUGAGAUACGGCCCAGACUCCUACGGGAGGCAGCAGUGGGGAAUAUUGCACAAUGGGCGGAAGCCUGAGGCAGCAACGCCGCGUGCGGGAUGACGGCCUUCGGGUUGUAAACCGCUUUCGCCUGUGACGAAGCGUGAGUGACGGUAAUGGGUAAAGAAGCACCGGCUAACUACGUG
rnacentral:rRNA from 1 species